UGAUAAACAACCUAUCAUAUCAGUUCACUUACAUUUGAAAGUUUUCUCUCAAAAUCGGAACAAUGAACAGUGUACAAUGCUACAAAGAAAUAACUAAACUACAUAAAAGUAUCGUGUAAGUGAAAAGAAAAAGAAUAUUUGUACAAUUAUGGAGAGAAGGAAGAUACGGAUAGAUAAAUAGAUAGAUAAGUAGAGAGGGGAAGAGGGGAAGAAGGGCUUUGCUUCACCAACCUUGUCUUCUUGUUGUCUCUUGCGGCGUUCCCGGCUAACUCGAGUACUUCAGCCGCCAAAUAUUCCAUCACAGCGGCCAAAUAAACAGGCGCUCCAGCUCCUACUCGUUCCGCAUAAUUUCCUUUUCUUAAAAGACGAUGGAUUCUUCCGA